rnacentral:rRNA from 1 species
UACGGGGGGGGCAAGCGUUGUUCGGAAUUACUGGGCGUAAAGGGCUCGUAGGUGGCCAACUAAGUCAGACGUGAAAUCCCUCGGCUUAACCGGGGAACUGCGUCUGAUACUGGAUGGCUUGAGUUUGGGAGAGGGACGCGGAAUUCCAGGUGUAGCGGUGAGAUGCGUAGAUAUCCGGAGGAACACCGGUGGCGAAGGCGGCUUCCUGGACCGACACUGACGCUGAGGCGCGAAAGCUAGGGGAGCAAACGGG